GACGAACGCUGGCGGCGUGCUUAACACAUGCAAGUCGAACGGAAAGGCUCUGCUUUGCUGGUACUCAAGAGUGGAAAAGGUGAGAAACACAUGUGUGAUAUCUCCCGUGCUUUUCGAUAUACCUCUGAAACUGUGUCUCUUAUACCAUAUAAGACCUUUUUAUUGUGAUGUGUGGAAAAUUUUUUCCGUGGAGGAAUAGCUCCCCGCCUAACCACUUUGUUGUGGGGUAAUUGCCUAACCAAGGCGCCAACGGUAACCCGGCUUAAAAGGUGGAACGGCCCCUUUGGAAUUAAAUCCCGCCCCAAAUCCUUCCGGAAGGAACAAUGGGGAAUAUUUCCCCAUGGGCCCAAACCUUAAUCCACCACCCCCCCUGGGGGAAUAACGCCCUCCGGUUUUAAACUUCUUUUCACUAUCGACGAAGCUUUUUCUGACGGUACAUAGAUAAGAAGCACCGGCUAACUACGUGCCAGCAGCCGCGGUAAUACGUAGGGUGCGAGCGUUGUCCGGAAUUACUGGGCGUAAAGAGCUCGUAAGUGGUUUGUCGCGUCGUCUGUGAAUUCCGGGGCUUAACUCCGGGCGUGCAGGCGAUACGGGCAUAACUUGAGUACUGUAGGGGAGACUGGAAUUCCUGGUGUAGCGGUGAAAUGCGCAGAUAUCAGGAGGAACACCGAUGGCGAAGGCAGGUCUCUGGGCAGUUACUGACGCUGAGGAGCGAAAGCAUGGGUAGCGAACAGGAUUAGAUACCCUGGUAGUCCAUGCCGUAAACGGUGGGCGCUAGGUGUGAGGUUCUUUUCACGACAUUCGUGCCGUAGCUAACGCAUUAAGCGCCCCGCCUGGGGAGUACGGCCGCAAGGCUAAAACUCAAAGGAAUUGACGGGGGCCCGCACAAGCGGCGGAGCAUGUGGAUUAAUUCGAUGCAACGCGAAGAACCUUACCUGGGCUUGACAUACACCGGAUCGCUGCAGAGAUGGAGUUUCCCUGUGGGGUUGGAUGCACAGGGGGCGCAGGGGUGUUCUCAGCUCGUGUCGAGAGAUGGGGGGAAAACUCCCGCAGAGAGCGCCCCCCGUGUUAUAUGUCCCCCGCGUUGGGGUGGGGACUCGUGAGAGACUGCCGGGGUUAACUCGGAGGAAGGUGGGGAUGACGUCAAAUCAUCAUGCCCCUUAUGUCCAGGGCUUCACACAUGCUACAAUGGUCGGUACAACGGGCAGCCACUCCGUGAGGGGGAGCGAAUCCCGCAAAGCCGGCCUCAGUUCGGAUCGGGGUCUGCAACUCGACCCCAUGAAGUCGGAGUCGCUAGUAAUCGCAGAUCAGCAACGCUGCGGUGAAUACGUUCCCGGGCCU
rnacentral:rRNA from 1 species